rnacentral:rRNA from 1 species
AGUGAACGCUGGCGGUAGGCCUAACACAUGCAAGUCGAACGGCAGCACAGUAAGAGCUUGCUCUUACGGGUGGCGAGUGGCGGACGGGUGAGGAAUACAUCGGAAUCUACUUUUUCGUGGGGGAUAACGUAGGGAAACUUACGCUAAUACCGCAUACGACCUACGGGUGAAAGCAGGGGAUCUUCGGACCUUGCGCGUUUGAAUGAGCCGAUGUCGGAUUAGCUAGUUGGCGGGGUAAAGGCCCACCAAGGCGACGAUCCGUAGCUGGCCUGAGAGGAUGAUCAGCCACACUGGGACUGAGACACGGUCCAGACUCCUACGGGAGGCAGCAGUGGGGAAUAUUGGACAAUGGGCGCAAGCCUGAUCCAGCCAUACCGCGUGGGUGAAGAAGGCCUUCGGGUUGUAAAGCCCUUUUGUUGGGAAAGAAAAGCAGCAGGUUAAUACCCCGCUGUUCUGACGGUACCCAAAGAAUAAGCACCGGCUAACUUCGUG